rnacentral:ncRNA from 2 species
AAUUUCAUAACGGGAACAGGUGCGUACCGCCGCCAAUCAGGUGACCGGUAUGCUUAAAAGGGAAGUUCGGUGCAAACCCGACGCGGUCCCGCCACUGUAACGGAAGAGUCGUCGCGAGACAGCCACUGGCUAGAGCUUAUAGCCGGGAAGGUCGCGAUAGAUGUUGACGCCGGAGCCAGGAGACCUGCCUGUUUCGACAACACUGC